UACGGAGGGUGCGAGCGUUGUCCGGAAUCACUGGGCGUAAAGGGCGCGUAGGCGGCCUGAUAAGUAGGGGGUGAAAUCCUGCGGCUUAACCGCAGGGCUGCCUUCUAAACUGUCAGGCUUGAGCACAGUAGAGGCAGGUGGAAUUCCCGGUGUAGCGGUGGAAUGCGUAGAUAUCAGGAAGAACACCCGUGGCGAAGGCGGCUCUCUGGAACGCAACUGACGCUGAGACGCGAAAGCGUGGGGAGCAAACAGG
rnacentral:rRNA from 1 species